AUUGAACGCUGGCGGCAGGCCUAACACAUGCAAGUCGAACGGUAACAGGAAGAAGCUUGCUUCUUUGCUGACGCGUGGCGGACGGGUGAGUAAUGUCUGGGAACCUGCCUGAUGGAGGGGGAUAACUACUGGAAACGGUAGCUAAUACCGCAUAACGUCGCAAGACCAUAGAGGGAGACCUUCGGGCCUCUUGCCAUCGGAUGUGCCCAGAUGGGAUUAGCUAGUAGGUGGGGUAACGGCUCACCUAGGCGACGAUCCCUAGCUGGUCUGAGAGGAUGACCGGCCACACUGGAACUGAGACACGGUCCAGACUCCUACGGGAGGCAGCAGUGGGGAAUAUUGCGCAAUGGGCGCAAGCCUGACGCAGCCAUGCCGCGUGUAUGAAGAAGGCCUUCGGGUUGUAAAGUACUUUCAGCGGGGAGGAAGGGAGUAAAGUUAAUACCUUUGCUCAUUGACGGUACCCGCUGAAGAAGCACCGGCUAACUACGUG
rnacentral:rRNA from 1 species